rnacentral:rRNA from 1 species
GUUAUAUGGUCAAGUGAAGAAGCGCAUACGGUGGAUGCCUUGGCAGUCAGAGGCGAUGAAAGACGUGGUAGCCUGCGAAAAGCUUCGGGGAGUCGGCAAACAGACUGUGAUCCGGAGAUGUCUGAAUGGGGGAACCCAGCCAUCAUAAGAUGGUUAUCUUGUACUGAAUACAUAGGUGCAAGAGGCGAACCAGGGGAACUGAAACAUCUAAGUACCCUGAGGAAAAGAAAUCAACCGAGAUUCCCUUAGUAGUGGCGAGCGAACGGGGACCAGCCCUUAAGUUGUAUUGAGAUUAGCGGAACGUUCUGGAAAGGACGGCCAUAGUGGGUGAUAGCCCUGUACGCGAAAAUCCCUUUGCAAUGAAAUCGAGUAGGACGGGGCACGAGAAACCUUGUCUGAAUAUGGGGGGACCAUCCUCCAAGGCUAAAUACUACUGACUGACCGAUAGUGAACCAGUACCGUGAGGGAAAGGCGAAAAGAACCGCGGAGAGCGGAGUGAAAUAGAUCCUGAAACCGUAUGCGUACAAGCAGUGGGAGCCCACUUUGUUGGGUGACUGCGUACCUUUUGUAUAAUGGGUCAGCGACUUAUUUUCAGUGGCGAGCUUAACCGAAUAGGGGAGGCGUAGCGAAAGCGAGUCUUAAUAGGGCGUCUAGUCGCUGGGAAUAGACCCGAAACCGGGCGAUCUAUCCAUGGGCAGGUUGAAGGUUGGGUAACACUAACUGGAGGACCGAACCGACUACCGUUGAAAAGUUAGCGGAUGACCUGUGGAUCGGAGUGAAAGGCUAAUCAAGCUCGGAGAUAGCUGGUUCUCCUCGAAAGCUAUUUAGGUAGCGCCUCAUGUAUCACUGUAGGGGGUAGAGCACUGUUUCGGCUAGGGGGUCAUCCCGACUUACCAAACCGAUGCAAACUCCGAAUACCUACAAGUGCCGAGCAUGGGAGACACACGGCGGGUGCUAACGUCCGUCGUGAAAAGGGAAACAACCCAGACCGUCAGCUAAGGUCCCAAAGUCAUGGUUAAGUGGGAAACGAUGUGGGAAGGCUUAGACAGCUAGGAGGUUGGCUUAGAAGCAGCCACCCUUUAAAGAAAGCGUAAUAGCUCACUAGUCGAGUCGGCCUGCGCGGAAGAUGUAACGGGGCUCAAACCAUGCACCGAAGCUACGGGUAUCAUCUUAGGAUGAUGCGGUAGAGGAGCGUUCUGUAAGCCUGUGAAGGUGAGUUGAGAAGCUUGCUGGAGGUAUCAGAAGUGCGAAUGCUGACAUGAGUAACGACAAUGGGUGUGAAAAACACCCACGCCGAAAGACCAAGGUUUCCUGCGCAACGUUAAUCGACGCAGGGUUAGUCGGUCCCUAAGGCGAGGCUGAAAAGCGUAGUCGAUGGAAAACAGGUUAAUAUUCCUGUACUUCUGGUUAUUGCGAUGGAGGGACGGAGAAGGCUAGGCCAGCCUGGCGUUGGUUGUCCAGGUUUAAGGUGGUAGGCUGAGAUCUUAGGUAAAUCCGGGAUCUCAAGGCCGAGAGCUGAUGACGAGUGUUCUUUUAGAACACGAAGUGGUUGAUGCCAUGCUUCCAAGAAAAGCUUCUAAGCUUCAGGUAACCAGGAACCGUACCCCAAACCGACACAGGUGGUUGGGUAGAGAAUACCAAGGCGCUUGAGAGAACUCGGGUGAAGGAACUAGGCAAAAUGGCACCGUAACUUCGGGAGAAGGUGCGCCGGUGGAGGUGAAGCAUUUACUGCGUAAGCCCCUGCCGGUCGAAGAUACCAAGCCGCUGCGACUGUUUAUUAAAAACACAGCACUCUGCAAACACGAAAGUGGACGUAUAGGGUGUGACGCCUGCCCGGUGCCGGAAGGUUAAUUGAUGGGGUUAGCGCAAGCGAAGCUCUUGAUCGAAGCCCCGGUAAACGGCGGCCGUAACUAUAACGGUCCUAAGGUAGCGAAAUUCCUUGUCGGGUAAGUUCCGACCUGCACGAAUGGCGUAACGAUGGCGGCGCUGUCUCCACCCGAGACUCAGUGAAAUUGAAAUCGCUGUGAAGAUGCAGUGUAUCCGCGGCUAGACGGAAAGACCCCGUGAACCUUUACUAUAGCUUUGCACUGGACUUUGAAUUUGCUUGUGUAGGAUAGGUGGGAGGCUUUGAAGCGUGGACGCCAGUCUGCGUGGAGCCAACCUUGAAAUACCACCCUGGCAACUUUGAGGUUCUAACUCAGGUCCGUUAUCCGGAUCGAGGACAGUGUAUGGUGGGUAGUUUGACUGGGGCGGUCUCCUCCUAAAGAGUAACGGAGGAGUACGAAGGUGCGCUCAGACCGGUCGGAAAUCGGUCGUAGAGUAUAAAGGCAAAAGCGCGCUUGACUGCGAGACAGACACGUCGAGCAGGUACGAAAGUAGGUCUUAGUGAUCCGGUGGUUCUGUAUGGAAGGGCCAUCGCUCAACGGAUAAAAGGUACUCCGGGGAUAACAGGCUGAUACCGCCCAAGAGUUCAUAUCGACGGCGGUGUUUGGCACCUCGAUGUCGGCUCAUCACAUCCUGGGGCUGAAGCCGGUCCCAAGGGUAUGGCUGUUCGCCAUUUAAAGUGGUACGCGAGCUGGGUUUAGAACGUCGUGAGACAGUUCGGUCCCUAUCUGCCGUGGACGUUUGAGAUUUGAGAGGGGCUGCUCCUAGUACGAGAGGACCGGAGUGGACGAACCUCUGGUGUUCCGGUUGUCACGCCAGUGGCAUUGCCGGGUAGCUAUGUUCGGAAAAGAUAACCGCUGAAAGCAUCUAAGCGGGAAACUUGCCUCAAGAUGAGAUCUCACUGGAACCUUGAGUUCCCUGAAGGGCCGUCGAAGACUACGACGUUGAUAGGUUGGGUGUGUAAGCGCUGUGAGGCGUUGAGCUAACCAAUACUAAUUGCCCGUGAGGCUUGACCAUAUAACACCCAAGCAAUU